AAUCAACGCUGGCGGCGUGCCUAACACAUGCAAGUCGAACGCGAGAGGGGCUUCGGCCCCGAUUGAGUGGCGAACGGGUGAGUAACGCGUGGGUGACCUACCUUCGAGUGGGGGAUAACGUCCCGAAAGGGACGCUAAUACCGCAUAACAUCCUGCUUUUGAAUGGGUGGAGAUCAAAGCCGGGGAUCGCAAGACCUGGCGCUUGAUGAGGGGCCCGCGUCUGAUUAGCUAGUGGUGAGGUAACGGCCCACCAAGGCAACGAUCAGUAUCCGGCCUGAGAGGGCGGACGGACACACUGGGACUGAGACACGGCCCAGACUCCUACGGGAGGCAGCAGUGGGGAAUUGUUCGCAAUGGGCGCAAGCCUGACGACGCAACGCCGCGUGGAGGAUGAAGGUCUUCGGAUUGUAAACUCCUGUUGCCCGGGACGAAUGGCUCCGACCUAACACGUCGGAGUGUGACGGUACCGGGUGGAGGAACGCCCGGCUAACUCUGUGCCAGCAGCCGCCGUAA
rnacentral:rRNA from 1 species